rnacentral:rRNA from 1 species
AACGAACGCUGGCGGCAGGCUUAACACAUGCAAGUCGAGCGCCCCGCAAGGGGAGCGGCAGACGGGUGAGUAACGCGUGGGAAUCUACCCAUCUCUACGGAACAACUCCGGGAAACUGGAGCUAAUACCGUAUACGUCCUUCGGGAGAAAGAUUUAUCGGAGAUGGAUGAGCCCGCGUUGGAUUAGCUAGUUGGUGGGGUAAUGGCCUACCAAGGCGACGAUCCAUAGCUGGUCUGAGAGGAUGGUCAGCCACACUGGGACUGAGACACGGCCCAGACUCCUACGGGAGGCAGCAGUGGGGAAUAUUGGACAAUGGGCGAAAGCCUGAUCCAGCCAUGCCGCGUGAGUGAUGAAGGCCCUAGGGUUGUAAAGCUCUUUCAACGGUGAAGAUAAUGACGGUAACCGUAGAAGAAGCCCCGGCUAACUUCGUG